AGCGAACGCUGGCGGCAGGCUUAACACAUGCAAGUCGAACGGGCGUAGCAAUACGUCAGUGGCAGACGGGUGAGUAACGCGUGGGAACGUACCUUUUGGUUCGGAACAACCCAGGGAAACUUGGGCUAAUACCGGAUAAGCCCUUACGGGGAAAGAUUUAUCGCCGAAAGAUCGGCCCGCGUCUGAUUAGCUAGUUGGUGUGGUAACGGCGCACCAAGGCGACGAUCAGUAGCUGGUUUGAGAGGAUGAUCAGCCACAUUGGGACUGAGACACGGCCCAAACUCCUACGGGAGGCAGCAGUGGGGAAUAUUGGACAAUGGGCGCAAGCCUGAUCCAGCCAUGCCGCGUGAGUGAUGAAGGCCCUAGGGUUGUAAAGCUCUUUUGUGCGGGAAGAUAAUGACGGUACCGCAAGAAUAAGCCCCGGCUAACUUCGUGCCAGCCGCCGCAGUAAAACCCU
rnacentral:rRNA from 1 species